UACGUAGGGUGCGAGCGUUGUCCGGAAUUAUUGGGCGUAAAGAGCUUGUAGGCGGUUUGUCGCGUCUGCUGUGAAAAUCCGGGGCUCAACCCCGGACUUGCAGUGGGUACGGGCAGACUAGAGUGUGGUAGGGGAGACUGGAAUUCCUGGUGUAGCGGUGAAAUGCGCAGAUAUCGGGAGGAACACCAAUGGCGAAGGCAGCUCGCUGGGACGGUACUGACGCUGAGACGCGAAAGCGUGGGGAGCAACAGG
rnacentral:rRNA from 1 species